rnacentral:rRNA from 1 species
GACGAACGCUGGCGGCGUGCUUAACACAUGCAAGUCGAACGGAAAGGCCCUGCUUUUGUGGGUUGCUCGAGUGGCGAACGGGUGAGUAACACGUGAGUAACCUGCCCUUGACUUUGGGAUAACUUCAGGAAACUGGGGCUAAUACCGGAUAGGAGCUCCUGCUGCAUGGUGGGGGUUGGAAAGUUUCGGCGGUUGGGGAUGGACUCGCGGCUUAUCCGCUUGUUGGUGGGGUAGUGGCUUACCAAGGCUUUGACGGGUAGCCGGCCUGAGAGGGUGACCGGCCACAUUGGGACUGAGAUACGGCCCAGACUCCUACGGGAGGCAGCAGUGGGGAAUAUUGCACAAUGGGCGGAAGCCUGAUGCAGCAACGCCGCGUGCGGGAUGACGGCUUUCGGGUUGUAAACCGCUUUCGCCUGUGACGAAGCGUGAGUGACGGUAAUGGGUAAAGAAGCACCGGCUAACUACGUG